AUGAACAAUCGCCAGCAUGUGGACCAGCGGCGUCAGGGUCUGGAAGAUUUCCUCAGACAGGUCCUACACAACGCGCUCCUGCUCUCAGACAGCAGCCUGCACCUCUUCUUGCAAAGCCAUCUGAACUCGGAAGACAUCGAGGCGUGCGUUUCUGGGCAGACCAAGUACUCGGUAGAGGAAGCAAUUCACAAGUUCGCCUUGAUGAACAGACGCUUCCCCGAAGAAGAUGAAGCCGGAGAACAAGAAAACAAUAUAGAUUAUGGUUCAGAAAGUUCAUCCUCCGGGUUUGGCCACAGUAGUGAUGACAGCAGUUCACAUGGGUGUAACAUGAGCACGGCUCCGCAGGAAUCCUGAAAAAGAAUUCUGACGUGACCAUCUUAGGAACAGCAAAUUACGUCCAGUCAUAGAGGAGAAAGCCCGCUAAUGAUACAUUUUUACCUAAAGCUCACUGUCAUGAUAGUAGGCACUUAAAUUCUUCAAGACGCUGGGUUGUUUAUUCAUGCUGUUUUCAUGUUGUCUUAUUUUGGCUAAGCUUCCGUAAAAAGCUAAAGGCCUGUGAUUGCAACUCUCUCCUAUACAGGCCAACAUUAUUGGUAAAACAAGAUCCUGCUCUCAAAUGACAUGGUGUAUGUGUUUUAAAAAAACAACAACCUGGUUGCUUUUACUGAAUUUGAAAAUAUAGGCAAUUAGUUAGCAUUUGAAAUCCAGACAGUGGAUGCCUUUUUGAAUCAACGGGGCAGUGUUAGCGUAAACACAGCAUGUAUGAGCCUAACCACCCUGAAGACUGACAACCUAGACCAGCCAGCCUCGCUCAGACAUGGGGCUGAUAUUCUGUGGGUACCUCCCCCGCACCGGGAAGACACUUUGCUUUUGGGUGUUUGGACUCUUUGAAGGGAGUUUAACCUUGCCAGUAUUCUGUUUCACAUUUAGAUGGGGAAAGUAUCUUGGGAACAGAGACAUGCUAAAAUAAUGUUUACAUCCCAGACAAAACAGAAACCGUGCCAGUGACUUUGCUUAGACUUGGAAUAUGUAGAUUAAGAAAUACAGUCUCAUUGUCCAAAAAUCAGCUUUAACACAUGGUUUCUGGAGACAAAUCAUUUGUUUUCAUUAUCUUUGUGUAAUUGGAAUUACAGGUUCGUGAUUUAUUUUCUGA